rnacentral:lncRNA from 1 species
UUAUAAGCUAGUAUUAAUCCCGGCUUGGUCGCAAGACCCUAAGGGGUAUAAAGUUGCCGCAUUUAAAGCAUUAUUCAACCGAAUCUUUACGCAUAUUACAAGAUGGAAAAAUAAAAUUAAAGAACGGGAAUACAUCUAUACACAUGGCCGCAAAUAUGGAUAUAGCACCAAAAUAAUGGAUGGUAUUUGGUGGAAAGUAAUGACAAAUGUAGAAAGACAUAACCCACAGUUACAACAAGCACAACCGGCUGACCCAUAUAGGUUUACUACUAUUACUUAUUAUGAAAACACUGACCAUAUCCUGGGCAAGGCCCUAAGGCAUAAACAGGCUAAAAUGGCAAAAAGACAUACUCCAACUUAUUCAACUUGCUCUGCAAUGACGAAGAUCGUGUAAGUGAGGGAAGAAAAGCGGGCAUUUAUAGUAUUCCAUUAUAUAACAUAGAGGAGGAUGUUACACAAUA